UGCAGAUCGCUUUCCUGACUCCUGUACUCCACUGGAUCGAGAAGAGUUGGGAUGUCUCCCGUCAACAUCACGUAGCAUGGAGCCCCUGGACAGUUCUGGAGGACUCUGUACACAGCUUUGGCAACAUCAGUCUCCUGAAGAUAUUCUAUAGUCAUAUCAACAGCUUCAAGUUCUGUGAGUCAUGAAGGUUCCGAGCAGAAGUCUGGGCAGUGCAGUGACUGAUGAGCUGACAGGCCGAUCACAUGAUCUGCGCAGCCAUAUGCAGAGUCUGCCAUGUUUCCCUAAGUGUGAACCACAACCCAGCCUGACCUUCUUCCAAGCUGAUUUACAGUCUCUACUGGCAUCCUAACCUGCCUCCAAAAUGUCAAGCAUGAAUGGGUUUAAAGAGCUUUGUGAAUCUUGGAUUGGUAUUAAAAAUGCUACUUAAGUAUAUUAAGAAAGAAGAGAGAUUGACAGGAUAAAUUUUUCAGUUACAUCUGUUGAACUGUAUGCAUAAAAACAUCCUCAUUCUCACUGUUUAGUUUAGAAAUAUACACAAUCUAGUACAGGGGUCUCAAAGCCCUGGCCUGCAGGCCAUCUGUGGCCCAAGAACCUCCCCACUGCAGCCCGUGGAAACUUGUUAAAAAGUUCUUUCAUCCGUCCCUCAUGGCUUCCCGCUGAGGGAGUGGUGGAGCGGGAGGAGAGCGGGCAGGAGAGAUUCACGUGCCCCUCCCCCCAACGCUGCUCCAUCCUGCUGCUCCUGGGACCCUCCCAGGAGUUGCACUCGGCAAUGUGUCAUUCACCUCGGGCAGCUCAGCUCCCUGCAAGCGGUUCCCUAUCCCUGCUGUUGUCGGUGGAGCCACAGAGGAGAGACCCAUGCAGCCAUCUGUCUGCUGCAGGCACCGCCCCCCACAGCUCUCACUGGCUGGGGGAGAGGGACAGAGGUGCCAUAACUAGUUGCUGGGCAGAGUCAGCCAUGGAGGCAGCAUGAUUAAUUGCCAGGCAGAGUCAGCCAUAGAGGCAGCGUCACUGGUCGCUGGGCAGAGUCAGCCAGGGUGGCAUGAGGCCAAGAGAGCGAGGGAAAAGGGUGGAAAACGGGCUGGGAGGUGGUGUGAACACCGUCUUCAGUGACAUUAUUGGCCCGUUGGGAGGAUCUAAGGACUGGCACUGGCCGAAACGUAAACUGAGUUUGAGACCCCUGGUCUAGUACAAUGAGAAGGUUUGUUUAAUUCUAAAAAACUAAAGCGAUGGAAAAAAUAACAGUAUUAAUUUCCAAAAGUAUCCUACAUCCUUAAUAACGACAAAUACAGAUCCAGUCCAGCAAGUACUGGAUUAUGUAACUAAAAGUUACACAAUGAGAGAGCAGAUGUAUAAACCCAGCACUGCACUUGAUUAGUUUCCUGUCUUCCAAAGAUCAAGUAGUUGGUGUUGAAAGAGGAAGAAAAUCUGCUGGCUGUUAUGGUUGAUCAAGAGACACAGGGUGAAAUUAGCUACAGUGUCAUGUGCUCAUCCAGUAUGCGUUAUACUGCACUUUGGGAUAAGGCAUUGGUUUGGUUAACAGCCUCACCUCUAAACUAGAUCUUUUCCAGCCCUUUUACAAUGGUUACAAAUGUGUUUGCACUAUUCCAUGUCACAUAUAAAUUCUAUAUCCAUACCUUUUACACACACAUGCACACAUGCAGUGGUUAAGUUACUUAUGAGUUUUCUGAAUCUCCCAGGCAUGCAUUAACUUUUUCAGGACUUGGCUCUACAUGACUAAAACCACACACAAUUUAAACAAC